AUGUGGCACUUUUCAGAUUUUGAGAUUCAAACAAGUUUAACUUUGACCGUAAAUUUUUCAUAAAUUUUUGAAAUAUUUUGAAUUAUCAAUUGUUAUGACUUAUAGUACUUUUUAUGUAGUUUACAAAUAUAUAAAUUUCAUUUCAAGAAAAUUGAAGAUUUCAUGCGCAAAUUUCCGGUCAAACUUAAAUUGUUUGACUCUCGAAAAAUGAAAAGUGCCACAUAA
rnacentral:pre_miRNA from 1 species